rfam:TPA: Bos taurus chromosome 1, whole genome shotgun sequence.
CCCCUGGUGGCUUAGACAGUAAAGUGCCUGCCUACAAUUCAGGAGACCCAGGUUCAAUCCCUGGGUUGGGAA